rnacentral:lncRNA from 1 species
AGGAACUGAGGUAUUUUGCAUAGUUGCCUCAGUUUCACUAAGCAGUUGCCCAGCAAUGCUGCCUAAGUUGCCUAUGUUGUGAUGAACCUUUUUCCUUUUUUGCUAAUCCACUGUUUCUGUUUUUUCCUUAUGCGCAAUUGGGUCGUAGGAACAGAGCAUCCCCUGCAAGGCUCUUCAAGUUGAACAAGGACUUGGUUCCUGACCAAAAGGGUGUCAUCAUCGGAAAAGAAUUUGGUGGCAUUCUGGACCUUGCAGCGAGUAGCAUGCCCGGAGAUUUUAGCCAGUGGAUAAUGAAGCAUUACGACCCGGAGAUUUCGCAGAUAGUCAUUCCAGAAAGGGGGAAGAUUCCUGUAGAUGCCGCAAGUGUCCGUAGGAUAUGGGGUUUGCCCAACAGGGGCAGAAAGGUGUGCUUCGAGAAUCGGCCUGAAAUCACAAAGGCAAUGUACAAUAUUUACAACAUCACAUCCAAGAACUCCCCAACCCUCACAGAAUGGUGCAAGAUGAUCGUAGACAUGGGAGGAUCUCAUGAUGAUGACUUUGUCUGCGCUUGGCUAGCUCUUAUUUUUUCGUGCUUCCUUGCCCCUUCAACUAGUUUGAGUAUUUCCCCAAAAAGCUUCCCGGCGGUCAUGGAUGUCAAUGGAAUAACGGAAACCAAUAUAUGCCAGUUUGUUGUUGAUCAAUUAAAGCUUGCGUUCACUUCGGGGCAUGCCAACAAGAAGGCUGUUUGUUCUUGUGUUUUCCACCUUGUUGUAAGUGCUUCAAGCUGUUUUGUUUUUUCAAGCAUCCAUUUAUUUACUUAUCUUUUCUUUUCUUUUUGCAAUCAUUAGCUAACUUAAACUUUCUGUUCUUUUUCCGUGUCUCUACGCAGCUGUUGUACCUAGACUCUCUGGAUGUUAAUGAGCCAAUCCCGAACUUGGUACCAAGGGUUUUAGUUUGGAAUUCAGAUUUAAUCUCCAGAGUUGUCAAGAAGGACAUGAAGGCUCCAGGAGAAUAUGGCCAAUUGGGGGUAACUGAUUUUUUCUGUUUUAGUAUAGAUAUCAUUGUCAUAUUGUUUUUAGGAAACACUACCAUUUUUUUAGAGUAGGCAAUUCACUUUCAAAGGGCAAGCAAGGUAAUGUAUCUUCUUGGGCAAGUGCCAUACAUAUAUUUUCAAGUAUUUCCAAGUAGUUAUCAGACUUAUUCGAACCUUCUCUCAUUUGCCAUGCAUACAGUUGGAUAAUGUUCACAGGAAGGAUUUGUUUUGUUGUUGUAUUUAAUAGUAGCUUCUGUAGUACAUUUUUUAGCUCUUUUUUCUGUCUGAGCAAUUUACAUGUUGAAAAGUAGAAAAUUUACACAACAACACAAGCAACUUAUGUUCUGAAAACUAGCAACUUGCAUACUAGUUCUUCAUUUUUUGUUGAUUACAGUAUCAACUAAUAGUAGGCAACAGGGGAAGUGGCAUAAUGGUUGCAGGAAUUUUCAGACUAUUAGUAGUACUAUUUUUCUUCAUUUUUCUCAGGUCUUUUUUGGUAUGGGAUUGCCAGAAUUGUUGCCACUCAUAGUUUUUUUAAUCUUCUUUGGCUAUAAAACCACCAGCUCAAGACGGAGUUUUCCCGUUGUGCCGAUGAUAGCUUGUUUGGCAGUAUGGACCACAUCACCAAAUUUGUUGCCGCAAGAUUGCUCGAGUCAUAUGACAAAUCAGUAAGUUUAUCUAGCACUUGUUUUUUCCUCUCACUAUUGUUCCCCUUUUUAUCGCCAUUUGUACAUUCAACCAUUUUUUUCAGAAUCUUCAAUAGAAGAUAUGUACUUAUCAUGUUCUCUACCAUCCACUUUUAUGUUUUACAGAAGCAAAAGAAGCUCACAGGUUUGGUGCACGAUAUGUGUUCUGUAAUUUCAUAUGCAGUUGGGAAGCUCGUGACUGGGGUUGGGAAGAUAGAUGAUGAUGAAUGGGGGACAAAGGAGGCAGAUCCUACUACUGCGGAGACAGGCAGGCGGCAGUCUAACAGAAGGGGCAAGCGAGUACUAGCCAGAAGAGACAACUUACCAAGUGAGGAGGAGUCGUUUAAUUCUGACAGCGACGACAGCAAGGCAGCCGACAGUGAAAGUGAGGGAGAUGGCAGGGAUGAAGGUAGUGAUGAAAGCGACACCGAUGGCAGUUCAGACAGCGAUGACGGUCAUGAUGGAUCAAGUGGAGUUCAGGGGAAAUCAAGUAGCCAGGGAGCACGACAAACGGUUGAUCACCACGAGGGGGCAAGUGCUGAGAUGGGAGGUAAAGACGGAACUGAGGGGAACGAGGACAAUGAUGAUGAUGAUGAAGACGAGUAUGACGAAAAAGAAGAUGACGAAGGAAAGGAGGACGAUGACAAUGAAGAAGGCGAUGGGGAUGACAAAGACAAGGAAGAUGAUGGGCAGGGGAAGCAGGAUGAAGAUGACGAGGAUGACAGCGGAGGUGGCAACGGUGGUUCAGGCAGCAAUGGUGGCUCCGAUCGGGACGGUGAUCCCGCAGCUGAAAAUGCAAACAGCGAUGAUGAUGAACAAUGCACGCUGCAAUUUCUAAUUGAAAAGAAGAGGGACAGAAAGGCAAAAGGAUUGGAUGAGGCAGAUAGGAUAUCUAUCAGAGACCUUGUGAUGACAGAAUUCAAAACUGUUGUUUCCCCAAAACCACGCUUCCCUGUUUUUGAAGUGAAAGAAAUGUUGGAUAUUGAUGACAUAUCCAUGGCAACCGAAGCGAGGAGGAUGUUCAAAGAGUUGUUGAGGGGGGAAGAUUUGGAUAUGGUCUUCACAUUCAACCCCAAGCAAAUAUGCCCAAAGGCGACUCGGCAGAAAAUAAUGAGAGAGCUUGGCGCUCUAAAUGAAGCUACAGAACAGAAGACUGCUUGUCGAAACCAACUAACACCACUCCCGCCAUCAAAGAAGAUGAAGAAAACUGUUAGUUUCGUAUUGGAGCCAUCUGUGAUGAAUGAAACAACAAUUCAUCCACAGGCAUAUCGUGCCGAAAAUCCCGGUUACGGCCAAGGGGGAAAGUCAAGGCAGUCAGCCAUGAAAAAAUCUGGUCCUCCCCAGUAGCAACAAUAGGCAAUUUCUAAAACAAAAGAGGCAAUCCAUGGGAAUGCCAAAACACAGGUGGUAAAGAGUACACCAUCAAGCUCAGCAGCACCCCCGUGCAGCAAAGUUGGAGAUGAGGCAGUACCUACAGGAGUAGAUUCAAAGCAGUCGGGUAAUUUUCAUUCUCAACGUCAAGCAAGUGGAUCACAUAUUCUGGCAACUCAGUCUAAGGAGGAAGCAAGACCAGCUAUUUUUCAGGCAAGUUGUGCAGAGGAAACACUGGACACCACAAAAGUAAGGCCAGUUCAACUCAAGAAAGGACCCACAGUGCUAGUAAGCACAAGAAACCACAGCGGAACACAAUCACUAGGUAACUUAAAUGGUCAAGUGCCUCCCCCGUCCCGAGGAAAUGUGAUGCAGUCAGCCAAUGGUAUCCAGAGGGCCAAGGUGCAAGACUUCAACGCAUCACCCGAGGCUGCAGCAUUAAAUCAUGCAGGACACAAAAAGGAGAAAGAGAACAUCCCUCCGAUGUCAUGUACGGAGAUCAAUAGGAUACAAGACCCGCCUGAAGCUGCAACCAUGGAAAAAAGUCCGGAACAAAAGUUGCUAAGAGCCCUAGGGAAAUUGCCUGUCUGCUCAACUGUACCUGCCCAACCUGAGGCCACAAGUGUUCCAGAAGCAGUAGAAGCAACUGACCAGGGGAACACUUCCCAUUUCUCUGAUAUGGAGGAGAGAUACCAUGAAUUCAUGCGUGUUAGUGGGAAGACAACCAAUGCACUAGAAAUCAAUGUUCUAGAUGUGAGUGAGCUGUUUGCAAGGUGUGUUGAUCCAAACAGCAAGAAUGCCCAAUCCAACUUCACAAAUCACAGCUCAGCGAAUAGAUAUAAACAACAUUUUGAGCAAAGGGACACCGAAAGAUCAAAUGAUUUUUUCAGAGAGUACUGCCCAGCACCAAGUUUCGAUCUAGGCAUAGAUGAUUUGCACACAAGAUCCGCAGACAACACAACACAUCAACAUGUUGGGUCAAGCACAUUUACAGAGCAUGAGUUCAAGGAACUCCUAGUACAUAACCAGCCAAUCAUUGAUAUAACCGACGAUGAUUAUCUGUUGGACGGUGAAGGCAUAGAUGAACCGUGUGUUCAAGCAGAAGGAAAUGCGUACCAAACACCUGAAAAAGUUCCAACCAAGGAGAAGUAGGGUCAGGCAGCAAGGUUUACAGCAGUAGUAGUUCAGGAGAGAUGCAUCCACAUCAAUUCGAGAGAAGGAUUAUCAAGCCACCUCCUUGCAAGAGGUCACCUUUCAUUGACUAUAAUGAGAAAAAAGUCUACAUGUCCAAACCCGAAGCAAAUAGAUUGUAUGCAUCAGUUAUUUUGCAUGGAAGAAUUAAUGAAGAAGAAUCACCAGAUGUGGAUACCAGGUAUGACAGUAUAUCACUGCAUUUCUUUUGUCAGCCAUUGCACAAUGCACUUCCCCCCAGGCAAGGUCUGUCAUGAUAUCCAGGCAAUUCAAACUGUGUUUACAAGCAAUCUAUUUAUAGAAUCAGGCAACUUGGCUUAGUGUGAAAUUCUUAUUUUUUGAAGUAGUUUCUCCUUUGAUAUGCCCAUGCCCCCAUGUGUUUUCCCUGAGUUGAAAUGGUGGUAGGCAAUUCAUGGAAGGAUUUUGUGAGCUGAAUGCCUCUUUUGCCUCUUUUUUUUCAUGCAACGUAAGGGUAAUUGAAUAUGGCAAAUAGUUUGUCACGGUUAGGGAGCUCGCAAACUCAAUGAAGAAGGAAGGUUUUGUCUUGAGUCAUGUAAUGGAAGUUGGUAUACAGAAUAUAAUGAUGAACUUGCCACCAGACUCAAAGAAGCUCAUGAUGCCCGUCAGGUUCUCGGUAAGAAAACGCGAAGCAACUAAUAGUGUAGUUUUGCAUUUCUUUCUUUUUCUUUUUUUCAUAAAAGGUCAUGUUCAUGUCUGCAUGUUUUUUACAUCAGGUUCAGAUGCAAAACAUGGAAUUGAACGGCAAGGAGCUCAUUUCCCGGUUCAAGAAAUCGAAUCGCUUGGACCGUAAAAACAUGGUAAGUUAAUGGUUUCUUUACUUUUUACCAAUGCAUUUUUUAUAUAUGACUUUUUAUGCUAAAACUUUUGCUCACACAAAUGUAAAUAUUUCUUAGGGGGGGUGUGGUGGGCAAGUUGACUACACUCAUGAAAUUGCUUUUCUGUGGCAAGUUGCUUACAUUUUUUGCACAACUUGCCUGUGCUUUUUUGGCUGGUUGCUUACAUAAGUAGAUAAGUUGCCUAUGCAUUUUUUGGCUGGUUGCUUACAUAAGUAGAUAACCUACCUAUGCAUCUUCUGUUUUUGGCAAAUUACUCACACUAGUACAAAACUGGCAUGUGCAUUUUUGCUUCUUCAGCCCAUUUCUUAAUUGCUUCUAUGUGGCAUGUUGCUUACAUUUUUUUCACAAACUUGCCUGUGCAUUUUUGGCUGGUUGCUUAUAUAAGUAGAUAACUUGCCUAUGCAUCUUCUGUUUUUGGCAAAUUACUCACACUAGCACAAAACCGGCAUGUGCAUUUUUGCUUCUUCAGUCCAUUUUCUUAAUUUGUGAGAGCACACAGAAAAAAUUGCUUACAUCCAGUUUCUAGUAUUGUAUUUUUUUCACUAACCCCAUUUUUGUUUUUUUAACAGAUUAUGUUCCCAGUGUUAGAGAACAUCGACAAGACAAAACCUAAAACAGGCAAUCAUUACUGGAUUUUUAACGUGAACAUAAGGGAUCGAUGUUUUGAAACUCUUGAUUCUUGGAGGACGCUCAAAAACAAGUCUUUAGAUGUUUGCGCAAGGAAAAUGGUUGCAAGUUUUCGGUCUCUAUGGGAAGAGCAUUACGCCAGUUCCCGCGUCUCGCUGGAUGAGUUUGGGCUUACCAACAUCGACGUUCCAAAACAAAAUAAUGAGUAAGCAUCCACUUCUUUUCACAUAUUAACUAUGGUUUUGUUUAGUUUUUUACAAGCGACACAAUACUACAUAGAGUAAGCAUCCAGUUCUUUUUUCAAUUUUUUGUUUAGGUUCGACUGUGGUGUUUUUGCUCUGACGAUAGCAAACGGUUGGGAGGCAAGGCCUGUUCCAAAAUUCACAGCUGAGGAUAUUCCAAGCAUCAGGAAACAAUUGACUAACACAUGGGUUGACAACGCCAACAACAAGGCUCCAUGGAAAACCAUACUCAAGUUAGCAUAGGUCAGUUUUUUCUCCCCUCACACGCGCUACAUCCAUGUAAAUGCAUGUGUUGUUUCUUUUGCUCUUUUGUGAACUUUUGGACUGCCAGGGGAGGAGUUGCCUGUAUAACAACUUGGACCAGGCAAGUCUAUUGCAUAAACAGGCAAUUUAAGCUUUAAUUUGAGGCAAGUUAUUCAGAAGAACCCAUAAAAGACGAAUGAAAGACAAAUAGUAUGAUCAUUACAUAACCAGGGAAUUGUUGCAUUUUAUAGCAUUGCAGAAUCUUAUGUAUGUAAGUUUUCGACUAUUAUGGGGAGGGCAAGGGUGUUUGCGGGGCAAUUCAAAGCACACAACAGGCAACUCAAAACUUAUAACCAGGCAACUCAAAACUCUAGUGUGAGGCAAGUCAGCCACAAGAAACCGUAAACCAUAAAUAAUAGUUUAGGAUGUUCAAACAUACAGACCCACAAAUAGUUUAACUCGUCAAUGCCAUUUGACACAUCUUUUCAGCCAUCUGGUCACUGUGUGACCAUUACACCAAUCUGGUCGGGCAGCUUGCACCAUUGUGGUUAAAAGAACCACAAUAGCUACACUUGUUCUUUCUCUUCGGAUGCAGCUCAAGUGCUGAUUGAAUUCUUUUUGACUUUGCCCUCCCUUUUGUUGUUGAUUUUGGAGGGUCUCUAGGAAUUGCAGGGCCAAGUGUGGUAGCAGGUCUUCCAAACUGUGGUUCAACCAUCGUAGUACCUUGUGCGGCCGCAACAGCUGCAUGUAGAGAUGCCAUACUGAGCGGCUGGUGCGCAUAUCCACCAGAAGCUUGCACAAUAGGAGAUGAAAUUGCAUUGGCAUUUCCUUCUUGUGUUGCUGAAGACCCUGGAUGCUGCCCAAUCCAACCAUCCAGUGUUGCUGUUGACGCAAGCAAUGGUGCCAAUCCAGGACCAGCCACAUAGGUUGUGUUUGCUGCAUUAGUCCCCCGCGGUGGUUGUAUAGCCCCCAUAGUUUGUGGUGCAGGCCAAAUUGCUGGUCUAGGACCCAUAGGAGGUCACGCAGGCCCUCUUGCUAGUGCCGUAUCCAUCAAAAGUUGUGGCGCAGCUCCUCUUAGCGCUUGCACAGGCCUUGUCAUUGUUGAGCCCCUUGAAAGGUGCGGCGCUGCUCCACUGUUCAGUGGCACAUAUCCUGACAGUUGCUGUACAGACCAGCAGCCUUGUGUGGGAGGGCUCAUGGGUAGUUGUACAGCCCCUUUUUGCAUCGCUGCAGCUCUGAAUGCUGUUGUUGGUGUCCAUCCUCACUCAUAGAGUUGCCAGUUAGGUUUGGUGCGUUUUUUCUCCGCGUUGCAGAAGUAGGUCGCUGCUGCCUAGGUCCAGAAGAGGUUUGUGCAGGUUCAUCAGGACGCACCGCAGGGCCACUAGUUGCCUGAGUGUUUCUUGGUGGUGGCGCAGAAGUAGGUUGCCGCUGCCUAGGUCCAGAAGGGGCUUCAGGAUGCACCGCAGGGCCACCAGUUGCCCGAGAGUUACUCGGUUGUGGUGGAGAACCAUCAGCUGAUGGUGGAGGACCACCAGAGGGCCCACUUGUUGGUGCUGCCGGUUUCUUCUUCUUUGACAUGUUGAGAUUUUUGAUUUCAUGACGCGCACCACGCAUAUGUUUCUUUACAAUAGCCGUCGCAGCAUCUGACGCACUAGCAACCCGGGCAGGACUACCAAAAUCCAUCAUCAAAUUUGCAUGCCUGAGUUCCUUUUUCGACUGUGGUGGCAUCUCAUCAGGUUGCUCUUCGACAGCAGGGGGUGCGUUGGGAAUUGCCAUAGGUGUCCAUCUUCUAAGUAUGUACUGCGCCGGGAUUUCAUCAACACCAAGUUGGUUGAAAACUUUCAAGAUACGGCAGCAAAGCAUGCCGUCCCUCUCAAUCUUGCAGCAGUCACAUCUGUAGUCUCCAACACUAGCUUCCACCGUGACAAAAUAGCCCCUAGAACCAUAUUUGGCAACCCACUCUUGAUUGGGGUAAACCUCAUACAAGUUUUCACCAUGCGGUCGCAUAUUGUACCUUGUAGUCAACUGAAACUCAUCACGAAACUUCUCGUACAAGUCCCUAGUAUACGAACCGUACGCCUUCUUCUCUAUUGGGUAAGAUGACCACAUUUCAGUCUGUAAAUGUCCUGUCAUGUAGUCUUUUGAACCCUCUCGGACUAGUAUGUGUGUUUGGAUUUUCUGAUAUUGCUUCACAAAGUUCAAAAUGGACUUGUGUGGGUUCACAUAUCGCUUAAGGACAGCGUUGAACCCCUCGCUGUGUUGAGUUGACUGCAAGAAAGGGAAGAAUUGGUGCUUGAAGUAGCAGGGCACCCAUGUCUCUCUGUACUUGUAUAGAUUCUCGAAGUGGGAGUCAGUCACAGCCUCAUACUUCAUCAUCAGCUCACACCACCCUACCUCAAAUUCUUCCGGCGUCAAGCUGAAGUCAACACAGUUGUUGAAAUAUUUGGACAAGCCAGGGUUUCGCCCCAGCAAUGCUCCAAGCUUUUCUUGUGCUUUUUUCAUAAUAUGCCAGCGGCAACAGUGGUGCACACUUGUAGGAAAGAUCUUUUUAAUUGACUGUGCCAUUGCGAUGUCUUGGUCGGUUAUGAUGUUGGUGGGUGCUACAUUAUGCAUUGCCUCAAGGAAGGUCUGGAAUAGCCAAUCAAAGCUCGAUGCCAACUCUUGCCUAACAAAGCCACAUCCCAACAUGAACGACUGUCCAUGCCUGUUAAUCCCAAUGAAUGAUGCAAAGGCAUGUUGUACAUGUUAGUCAUAUACGUUGUGUCUAAGGAGAUACAAUCAUGAUAAGAUUCCACGUACGCCUUCCUUGCUGCACCAUCGACCCAGAAAAUAUUCUCAACCCUGUCUCCCUCAUCAUAUUUUAUCUUGUAAAAAAAUCUGGAUCCUCUCUCUGCUGAUCUUUAAAGUAAGCAACUGUCUCUAUCAUAUCCCCUUCUUUUGUAUCAUCCUUGUUCAAGAGCGUCUUGAGGUUUGUAAUGUGUUUAGUGCCAUAAGGUACAAUGAGUUCUGUCCCAUAGAAAUCUGACAUGAUGUGCAUCAUAUGACCUGUUGACAUGAAGUCACAAUGGUGGUCAAUCCUUUUUCUACACAAAAACAGUGCCAAAAAUAAUUUCUUUUCUGUUUUCAGCAAGGCAACUCAAAUGCAAAGCUUGGGCAAUUCAUGAAGAUAUACAAGCAACUACAACCAUAUGCCCCAGGCAACACAUGAACAAAAUACACAAAACAAACCAGGGGGGUAACUAUGCAUUUUAGUGAGGAAUAGAAAUUUCAAUCAUAGGCAAGUUGACCCCAUCCAGAAACGAGUACUAUUGUACAUUUUAGCUACAAAGAGACUAACCAUAGGCAAGUUCAGAUUCAACAUCAAAUUUGUUUUAUAAAAAAAUUAGGCAAGCAGGAACUUUGCAUUGAGUAACAAACAGGUAAACAUUAGGCAAGUCCAGCAUCCAGAAACAAAUCAGGCAUUUUAUGUCUUUUUUCUACUGUUGUAAGCAAUUUAGUGGCACUAUCAAGCAACUAAGGCAUUUGUUUGAAGCAAAUCAGUGACAUGUUUCAAGCAAAAACAGGUACUUGUUGAUGGGCUAAGAAACACACAACCAGUAGGCAUGUCCAGGUUCUUAAAGUUAGAAGAUAGGGGGGAGGUGGGUGUGGUUCAAUACCCGUAGUUAAAUUGCAGUUAUGAAGAUGAGUAAGGAAGGCCCUUUCUUCUGGCGGGAUCCCUUGGUGUGAUCGCAAAUACUUAGUCAAACAUGGCUUGUCAACCAACGGAUGGCUGUGCUCGCUAACAAAGUAGAUCACUUCCCAUCUUCCAUCUAUUACCUUCACAAUCAUCUUAGCUUUGCAACCAGUUUGCACAAUUUUAUCUCUUUUUCGUUUCUUGCUCCUCUUUUUGCCUUUACUAUCAUCAUCAAGAAAGACAAUAGUCUCAUCUUCAUUAUCAUCUUUUGCUUGCUCAACAAUGUCAUCUAGCACGGGAAUCUUUUCUGCCCCUCCAUCAUCAACAUCAGGCUUCCGAAACUUGUUGCAAACAAACUGGUGUUUUAUCAACUCCCCGGUUUUGAGAUCCUUCCUUGAACUAUUCAUUUUGAUUGAAAACCCCAUUUGCAAGGAAUAUCCAUUGUAAUGCACCUUGGCAUCUUCCAAAGUGUCGAACCUCAUGCCCACGUAAGGCUCCUUGGGCUGUGACCAAGCUUCAUCAUCAUUUUUAGCACCCAAACCAUUACCAACAGUGCCAUCGGUAUCACCUGCAGCACCUGUGCCAUCAAGGGUAUGAGCAUCACUCCCAGCUGCUAUAGUUGCAGGUACUUGUGUACUGCCCGGAGCACGGCCCCCAUGACUUGACUGCCCAUUUGUCUCCAUUGCUUCUGUAGCAGCACCAUCGACUCUUUGGAUGAUAGGGGGAUUAGGUGAUUCCGCCACAAAUUCUGCAUUUCCAGCAGCAUGUUGUGUACAGUACAAUGGAUCAUCAUUAUUUUCAGCUGGUUCCUCAUUCAGGUCAAUCAUUGUCAACCUGUUUAUUUAUUGAGAAUAUGGGAAAAAGUAAAGCAAGUCAGUAGAGGGAUGCAAGCAAGUAGCACAGUAAAUACAGGCAAGCCAGUAGCACACCUACCCAAGCACACAAAAAUAGCUCAAUCAUGUUCAACCUGUGCAUUUUUUCAACCAGAAAAAUUAAAGCAAUUUUUACGUUGUUGAGGCAAGCUAGUACCACACUAAACUCAGGCAAGCAAACAACACAGCAACACAAGCACACCAGAUUCACAAGAUAGCAAUUGAACAUAACCAGGCAAUUCAAAGUGCACUAUCAGGCAACCCAAACCAUAUAAUCAGGCAAGUCAAACUAUAUAUGUCCGGCAAUAUAUUAUUUUCAGGAGAUGCAUGAUUUUUUUUGUAUUAAUGAAUCAUGUUUGUACAUAUAAACAUAACAUAGGCUUUUUGUUUUUUGUGUUUCAUAAUAUAUUUUCUUAUUUUGUUUUUCUUAAACGCAGGCAACAUUUGAUUUUGGAGAAGCAAGCAUACUGCCAUAGAAGUGCUACUUUGAAGUGUCUUCAGAAUGGAAUUCACUCCCAAAUCAGAGAGAUUAGAGCAUGUUUAGUGUUAGGAAAAACUUAAGUUAGAAUUAUGGGCAUGAUUACUCUUUUAUAUUCAGAAUAUUUCUGCUUUCAGUACCUAUGUUUGUGUGUUAGAAAGAACUUAAGUUGACAUUUUUAGGUUUCAUCUUUUACAGCAGCAAGUUUGUGUGUUUUUGGAUAUGCUCAGUAUGUUUUGAAGUAACGUUUCGCAGCUGAGAUAGUUGUUGGUAUAUGGAUUUUCUUGUUGGCUUUUUCCUUCUUUUGUAGGAUGAAAUACUAAUAAUUUUGCCACUGUAUCCUGGCAACUUUCCAACUUUUCUUGGAUCAUGGCGAAGGAUAUGAUACAACAAAGGUAAAUUGUACUACGCAACUGUCUCUUGUUUUUUAGUUGCAAUUUUAGUUACAUUUUUUUCUUCUAGUGUUUUUUCACUAUAAAAACCAAGGAAUAAUGAAAACAAAUGUCCAAGAGGAAUGUUUUUCUAGUUUCUUCAAGAGUUGCCUUGACAUCAUUAUGCUUUUUUGCUUAAUCCUAUAAUGUAAGUUGCUUGAAUAAGCCAUUUGUUUUUGGUCCACAUGCUCCCAAAAGAUCUGAUAGGGGGGAAAGCCUUGUUUUCCCCUUCUUUUCCAUAGUGAUGUCAGUAUUCAUUGUCUUAUAAGUUUCAAAAGUGUUCAUGUUUUGCCAUGGCAUAAGUUUUCAAAGUUGUGUGCAUACAUAUACUUAGUUGCCUCAUUAUAGCAUUGUUUUUGCUCAAACAGAAUGUCUAUUUUGCACUGUUAUAAGCAAUUAAUAGAACCGGAACACAUCAGAAAUAGAUCAUGAUCAGUUGUUUCUCUUCCUCUUAUAAGUACUGUUUUUGCUCAGUUGUUUUUCUAGCUUAAGGCAUUAUAUUUUCCUAAUAUUUUUGUCCCCAACUUUACUAUCAGCACUUGCCUACAGAUUUAUAAAUGUGUUCAUAUGCAACAGAUUUGCAAAUAGAUUUUGAAAACUGGGAAGAAAUAUCAUGCUUAACAUCAGACUAAAUUUGCCCAAAUCAGGGGGCUGAAACUUGCCUAAACAGCAGACUAAACAUGCUUAACAUCACAUCUUUUUUACACAAUGUUUUGCACAACUGAAGCCUUGUACAAAUCGUGGGGAAAGAGGAGGGGGAUCUGGAAGAUGAGCUAAAUCUGACCUUUUUGCCUUGCUUUUUUGCCUUUUUGCAAGGCAAUCAGGAAUGAGGCGCCUAGAGAAGAAACAUCAAUGGAGCCGCCAUUGGAGGGCUGUGAAGGCUUUCUUGGAUCUGGAAGUGGUGAGGGGAAGGGGCGUGCUGUCUUUUUUUGCUUGGGAGAGAAGAAGAUGGGGUUGGGAGUUAGGUGAGGAGAAAGGAGAAAAGAAGACGCGCAUGGGUGGGGGAGGGAUCGGGCGAAGGGGAAGGACCAGGUGAUUUGCCCGCUUGAUGGUUGGCUGCGGGAAUCGGGAGGUGGGGACCAGAUGCUUUCCUAUCCUGGAAAGGUGGACAGAAAAUUAAUAUAUCUGGGUGGCUGCCAGGAAACGCUAGGGAGCACCCGGCUGCUCCCUAGACGCGUCCGUUUAUUAAUACCUACUUCAUUCAAAAAUAAUGACAUGUAAUAAAUAAAAUAUAAUUCCUAUAUGUGGCCUCAUUGUCAAAAAAAUUCCUUGUCAAGUACCUCAUGGUUAGCACAUGAUGAUAGCUCUAAGAAUAAAUUACGAGUUCCUAAUAUCCUAUGACCAUCGUGCAACUUGAACUACAAAGACCCAAGUGGAAGCAAGCCCAGUUUCUCGGGCGUAGUCGACUAUUCGAAGAGUCGUGGAGAGUUGGGUGGUGAUGCGCAGGGACCUCCAUGUGUGGGCCGAUCUCCGGCAAAAUCCGAUUAGGUGUGGCACGGUGGCCGGUGUGCGUCGGGCUCUCUACUGGAUAUGUCGCGAUUGCCGGUGUGCGUCGGGAUCUCUGCUGGAUGUGGACCACUUCAUCGAGGUGUUGGCCUUCCCCGUGUGUAGUGGCCAGCUGGCGGUGCUAUGGUCCACAACUUGAUGGUGGUGACUGCAAACUUCACUGCAAUGACUUCCUACCACUCCACGACGACGGUGGUCAUCGAAAGGUCUUCGAGAGGGUUCAUCUCGCAUGAUCCAGCGGUUGACUUCGGCGAUGAGAUUAUGGAUGACAGCUUGGCAUAGAGGGAUAGUUAUGCAGUGGCAGCGGUCACAUCGCACGUAGCUAUUGGGAUCGCAAAAGGUGAUUGCGAUAAAACAUGAGUGACUUCGAUAAUGGUGCUACUCGAGCAGCCGGUCUCGUGCGUCGGGGCUAAAGCCCAGGUCAGACCUGAGUGGUUAUACCUGCCAAUGACGAUAUUUUUCUUACGUCAUUACCUAGUUCAAGAUAUUGCUCGAAUAUGCUUAGACUGAUUCUUCAAGGCGAACACCUAGAUCAUGGUCUUGUGGUUAGAACUGGUGACGGUGGCUCUUGAGUGUCGCUCCCUUCCUGAAGGCAUUAAUGUUGAAGAACCUCGUCGCUCAUGUGGUGUCAAGAGAUGGUUGGUGCAGAUAUGGUCAUUGUUGUAGUUUGCCAAUCGCAAAUCUGGUCGCUUUAGGGUUUUUUUUCCUCGCAUACGCAUAACUUGGCCUUAUAUGACUUAGCUAAUUUCACGCGUGUGUGUGAGUUGUUGUUGGUUAUGUGCAUCCUAUCUAUGCAAGGACCGGCUUUGUGCUCAUUGUCUUAUGUACCUUCUUCAUGCUUCAUGAUGAGUUAAUAAAAUCCACCCUCUGUCAAAAAUUAUACAACAAUAAUAUGAUAGAUAAGAAUAGAAUGACUGAGAAAAUCCUCCCUGCAAGGAUCACAGGAACUCGUCUUUGUUCUUUCCUGACAUAAGAUAUUUCCAUCUUUUAAUUCAAUUCAAGGAACAACUUCGUAUAGAGGCCGAAGUCAUUUUUUAAGGAAAGGUAUUCCUAUUACACUGGCUACACACUAACGAUGCUCAUGGAGUACCAACGUGCCAAAUAUUCACGCACAUUGACAAAUGUCUCUUAUGCUACUUGGACUCUUCCACUUAUUGAGCAAAACGAAAUAGAUCUCGCAAAAAAAAAGAACAAAACGAAAUAGUGCAAGGAAUGAUAGACUCACGUAACCAACUUGUACAUCACAAUGACUUGACUCCAAUUCCAGUAGAUACAAGUCGAGCCACCAGCACAGGGGCACAACUGUCUUUACAAGACCCCACCACGAAUAGCGAUUUCAAGACCACUAUCGUCUGAUUUAUCACUACUUGGGAGGUGAACGAUAAGAUUAUGCCUUAUCUUUACCAUUUAUCGUUUGGGCCGACUUAUCGCUCUGACAAGCGAUUUAUUGAAACUACCGAUAAAACGGGUCUAUUCCUAGACUAUGUUUGCAAAAAAUAUGUUUAUUUGUGUUUUGUGGACCUUGUUAUGCAAUAUGUACUAUUGUCCUAUUUUAUUUGCCAUUAUACGAGGGUUUGAAGGCCAGGAAUAAAGGUAACACUUCUGUCCAAUAUAAUUUUGGUGUUGAAUAUAACAUAUUUUAGUGUUGGGAAUCUAGGAUUUACAAAAAAAAAUGGCUGAUUUAUAGUCGACCGAUAAAAUUAAUUAAUCGGCAGAUUUUCAUUAAUCUCUAAUUCCCAACUAACUGAGACGCUAAUGAUAAGCGAUAUCCUCAACCUUGAUUUCAACAAUACCGAUCCAAGUCGGAUUUUGAAAUACUCUCUAGCAUGCAUGACACGAGUUGUCUUCAUCAUAUAUUUGGCCAAAACAACUACAAUGGGUUUGUUUUCAAGAGAGGCAGAUGGUAAAUUCAGGUUGGUACUAGUCUCGAGCUAACAAACUUAGAGCCACAUCACAUCUUUUCUUCGAUUUCGAUAAGCCCCAAAGAUGUUACACUCCAUUAUUAUACUUUUGGCUUCUAGGGCAUGAUGACACAUAGACGUUCCAUGUCCUCAAUGAUUAUCAAUGACAGGCUAGUUUGUUUUGCUCCAAUAUCUCAUAUGAACUACCUGAAAUUAAAAAGUAAAACAAACCAUGCAUGCCCACCUCUCCCAAGUGUCACCCAUUUAUAUGUAAGUGCAUUCCAAGUACUAGUCGGUUCAUUCAAGGUUUCCCUGUGGUCAUGCAUCCUGUGUUGACAUUCACACAUGAUUUUCCUCCUCACAACUCAUUAUAGCUCCAGGGAUGAAGCACAACAUGCAUGCUCCUGCAUCUUCCGCCAACAUGAACCAUUGUCACUACAGAAAAUUACUCCCCGGGCAAAAAAAUAAUAGAACACACCCUUGACAAAAAAAUAAAAGGAUGAAAAUAAGGGAAAGGUGGUACCGAAGAAACAAUUCCAAAGAACAUGCUAGAUGGAAAGGCAUCACUCCCCGGGCAAACAAAAAGGAUUUCAGUUAGUACCUUUUUUUCUGUUGGAGGCAAAGCCUUCCGCCAUCUUAUCCAUCUGCCGGUAUACAUACUACAAUAGUGUUAUUACAAGAUGCAAGUGUCCAGCCUGUACAUGAAUUGUUUUUCCUCAACGAAGCACGGUAAAGCAUCUAGGCCUUGCAAUCCUCUGGAGUAUGCAGACUUCCACAAUGUUAACACAAGCAUGGAUUACAUCGGCUCCCCAACGUACGAGGAACUGGUGGAUUUUUAGUACUUUGUUGGCUCAUUUAAUUAGCUUUUCCUCUAGGUGUUGUAACAUACACACAUCAUACAUCCAACAAAACAAUCUUAGCCCCAAAUAAUCCAGAUGAUCAGCUAUAGCAUUGACCAUAGGAAUGGGUAUGGUGUCUCAGUACUAAGCUUGAGACAUUUGUUUUGGGACGGAGAAAGUAGAUGUAAGCAAACUUGUUCCUUGUGGGGGCGCCGCAGUCCAACAUCCAGAGGAAAUUAAAUUGGUCUGUCUACUACCUAUUUAUAUACUAAAAAACACAAUACAAAGCUAUUUUUCGAGACACCAUGUUGAUCAACAUAAACGUACCUCAAGAGACCAUACCCAUUAGAUUAGUAACUUAAUAUAUCACAUCCGUUAGAUCUACAUAAACGUACCUCAAGAGACCAUACCCAUUAGAUCUACAUACGCGUUUUUGGUCUUUCGUGAGAGGCUCGGUUUUGCUUUUGCGAGAGGCACAACCAUGCCUCUCAGAAAAAAAAACAUGUUUUAUAUUUAUUUUUUAAUUUCGCCAGAGACACGGUUUUGCUUUUGCGAGAGGCACGACCGUGCCUCUCAGAAAAGGAAAAAACGAGUUUUUUGUUUUUUUCUUCCACGAGAGGCACGGUUUUGCUUCCGCGAGAGGCACGGCCAUGCCUCUUUCGGAAAGAAAAAAACCAUGCUCCCAGUUCGGUUUUUCGUCCAGCUUUUUGACCGGUUUUUUUUGUAAAGAAAAAGUUCAUCAAAACCUAUCAACAUAGGAUCUAGUUUUGAAGAUCUCAACGCGAUGAAUCCAAUGGUGAAAACGGUUCAAGAUUUGGACGCACGGUUUAAGAAAUAAAAUGUUUUGAAUAAACGGAUCUACGAAAAAGGAAAACUUUCAGGUUGCGACAAGUGGCAUGCUUUUUCUUUCGGUAAUGAUAACUCCCGAACGUUCGGGAGUUAAGCAUGGCAACCCGAACGGGUUUAGAUGGCAAGUUUAGUUUGCGUGAGAUUAGGGAAAUAUGGCAAUUUUCUGACAAAAAAACGAAAAUGGUCGAAGUUGCCAUCCCGUAUCCUAUCCUAUAUACCUAAAAGAUUGAUCCCAACUAACCUAUUUAUCUUAACAUGCAAGUAUGCCACAUCAUCAUACAAUUAUGGAUGGGAUAAGGCCCACCAUAACAUGCAACCAUGCAUGAUAAAGACCCACCACCACAUGCAACCAUGCAUGGGAAAAUAAUUAUCAUUUUAUUGUUCAAUUUAUAUUCAAUAAAUAUUUUAUCAAAUAUAAUAAGCUGUAUGCAUUUUAAAUUUUGGUUCAUGUGUUGUUAAUCUAAAAUUUAUAUUCCACACAACCAAAUCUUAUUGAAAUAUAUUGCAACCAAUUCUGGCAGCAGCGUGCGGGGCAUCCCCUAUGAACUAAAGUUGCCAUGUAAAAACGUUCGAGACGAAAUGCUCAAAUCCGAAUGUUCGGGAGUUAUUGGAUUCAUUUUCUUUUCCCAGCAUGCCACUUGUCGUAACCUGAGAAGGUGGGAGUGAUCUUUUAAAGAAGUAGUCCUCAAUUAGUAAUUUUGGUAUGGUGACGGAAGUUGAUUGGGCUGGACAUGCGGGGCGAGCUAAAUCUCACUUAAAGUGAGAUGAUAGCUCCACUCACGAAGCACCACGCAAAUGGCCGGCUCAUUAGAGCGUGGGUGCUCGGUCGGCCGCGUCGGGCCAUUCCAUUGGCACGGUUCGCUCUGGUUUUUCUUUUUCUUUUGUCUUUUUAGAUUAUUUUUGGUAUUUUCUAUGGUUUUAAUUAGGUUUUCCUUCUUCUUCUUUGGUUUAUUCCAUUUAUUUUUUCUAUUUCUUGGUUUUUCUUUUUUAAACAAGUUUUCUUUGUUUUUUACUUAUUUAUCUUUUCUUCCUUUUUUCUUCAUUUCCUAAGGUUUCCUGUUUCAUUCUUGGUUUUCUGUGCUUUUUUUCAAUUAUUUUCUCUGUUUUAUUUAAUUUUUAUCUUCCGUUUUCUUGGUUUACUUUUUGUUUUCUAUAUACUUUAUCUUUUCCCACAUUUUUCUUUUAUUUUAUUCAACAAAUAUCUAUUUUCACACAUUAUAAAUUUUCAUAUAUGUCAAUAACAUUUUUAUAGAUAUCUUAAAAAAUUAAAUACAUGAUUAACAUGGUUUUUGAUAAAUAUUUCGAAUUCUAUUAUGGUCAUACAAAUUGUAUAUUUUUUGUAUAGAUCUAACAUAUUUUUAACACAUAUUAAAAAAUCAAAAUUAUAUUUUGAUGUCUAUUUUUUUCGUACUCAUCGAACAUUUCUCUUAUACAUCCGAUACAUUUUCUUUGUACAUGUUCAACAAUUAAUGUAUGUACUCCCUCCAUUCCUGAAUAUAAGUCUUUCAUAGAGAUUCCAAUGCGCACUAUUUAUGAAGCAAAAUGGGUGAAUCUAUAUUCUAAAAUAUGUCUAUAUACAUCCGUAUGUAAUUCUUACUGAAAUCUCUAAAAAGACUUACAUUUAGGUAUGGAGGGAGUACAUGUUUAAUAUUUUGCAAAUGCAUGAUUUACAUUUUUUAAAUAAACAUUUUUAUGUCUAUUGUUUAAUACACAUUGUGUAUUUUUUUGUACAUAAGGAAUAUUUUUACAUACAUGUUUAGAAUUUUGCAAAUACAUGAUUAAUUUUGAAAAUAUAUAUAUGUUUUUAGCCUAAAUGGACUGUGGGAGAGAGAUCUCAUAGUCUUUUUUUAUUAUAUAUCUUGCAAACAUUUUUUCUAUAAACAUUUCGCAUUUUCAAAUGCAUGAUUGAUAUUUCCCAAAAUGUAUGCAGUAUUUUCUUUAAUUUUCAAAUGCAUGAUUAACAUUUUAUAAAAUGCAUGAUUAACAUUUUUUGUAUGUAUAUAUAUCAGAAGUAUUAGAAGUAUAAACAAAAGUUAAAAAAAGAACAAAAGAACAAAAACAAAAAAAUUGUGAAGAAAACCACCGAUUUUGAGGCUUGUUGGCUCCCGCCCACUGGGCCGGCAAAAUAUCGUGCUGGCUUCUGGGGAGGCAGCCAUAUGUCUCGCUAUAAGUGAAACAUGGGAUGGCACCGCCUUGUUGAGCUGGCACACUUUGACCUCGUUUUUGGUUUACAAGGCCUACACACAUUUAACUUUAUUUUAACCAUCAAUUUGAAUACAAAAUAUAUUGCAUUUUAGAAAACUCCAAUAAUGUAAGUUUUGUGACACACAACUCCUAUACCAUUUGUCUAACACGCGACACAAACAGAAAUUCAACGUCGAGUGUUUCUCCCUAGCUAAUAUAACAUUGAGGAGUAUAAUCAAACCUGAAGUGGCAAGAAGAUCAACUGCCAUGACAGCUUGACUUCUCGUCCAUGCAAGAUUUUCAAUCUCUAUCUCACAGUUUCCUUCAUAUAUGUAACUUGCCAUCCACUUUGACAUUCACUAACGGUAACUUGUUCUCCUAUCUUGCAGCGUCUAUUGCUCUCCAUCCACGCAAAAGCUCACACAGCAGUUUAGUCCAUUGAGGCAUUUUUGCUUUCUCCCAGUGGUAAGCUUGUUUGUUCAGUUUCUCAUCAACUGCAUAUUGUACCGAGGCCAACAUGUUCUUAACUAACUUUAUCAUUGAUAAAGCUUGUUUGCUCACAUAUACAUGGUUUUCCCAAACCUCGCCAAUUUAUAAUGAAACAUGUCUCGGUAUUCAAAGUACUAGUGUGCUUAUCCAAUUUUUCCUUGCAAUCACGCAUGUAUUUAUGCAAAUCUGCUCACCCAACUUUCAGUCAUGCAUUACUGAUGUUCAUUCACACAUGGUUUCUGACAUUGUGUCCUACCAAACCUUUAUUUUCCAAGAGGAAGCAGAAUCAACAUUACCCAUCUGAAGUUGGGUACAUUUGUUGAAUGAUAUAUAAACUAAUAUUACCUCCAUCUCAAAUUAAUUUUCUUAAAUUUGACGAGCAAGCGAUGGCACGCUAAGUCGUUGCCCAAGUCUUACACGUUCAGCGAAAACAUGCCCCUCCUUCCAUUAACGAACGGCAUNNNNNNNNNNNNNNNNNNNNNNNNNNNNNNNNNNNNNNNNNNNNNNNNNNNNNNNNNNNNNNNNNNNNNNNNNNNNNNNNNNNNNNNNNNNNNNNNNNNNNNNNNNNNNNNNNNNNNNNNNNNNNNNNNNNNNNNNNNNNNNNNNNNNNAUGGAUCUUUUCUACGGAUCUGUAGACACGAUUUUUCAACACUAGAAUGUCUCAGCAGUAUACUUCUUAUUAGGAAAGGUAGUACUGCACCCAAAGCAUGAGAAUCGCAACCAUGCUACACCAUUAAGUCAUUAGUCAGACAUGAUUGUUUCAACAAUAGAGUGCUAAUUUUGUCGUGAACCUAAUGCCGGUGCAUACUUUGAAAAGAAAAGAAAAGAAAAUCCAAUAAAUACAGGAAUCAGUCUGAUAAAAGGAUCAUCACUGAUGAAUAAACCACCAUACAUAAAAAUGCAACUUAAUAAAACAUCUCAAAUUUCCAGGUGCACUAGAUAUGGUAUAGAAAUGAAGAGCCCCAAUAGGGGCCUUGUCUCUCCAAGUUCUUGUGAUGCUUGAUUCUCUCCUUCAACCUUUAGAUCCUUUUGUGCAAGACUUGGUUGUUUUUCAGUCCAAAGCAGCCACCUAUGGCUGUCGACUUUAGUGACCCUUACAUCUACGAGGGGCAUGCUUGUUUGUUCUUCUUCAAUAUCUCAUAUCAACUGCAUACUAUUUUUGACACUUAUAGCAACUAUCAACUAUGGAAAGAAAAGAAAGAAAACUAUAAAUGGCUUAAGAGUAACAGAGAACAAAUCAUGCAUGUCUUUUUCCUUUUUUCCAAGAAAAUCAUUCAUGCCUUUGCCUGGUAGUUGCCUCGAGCCCCUCCAAUUUAUAAUGAAAGAGGAUGUGUUUGUUUGUACUAACUGUCAUCCAACAUUCACAUCAAGUUUAUGACAUCGCAUCUCAUCGGAGAGCUGUUUUUUGGGAAUCAUGCAUAUCAUAUGUAUUCCNNNNNNNNNNNNNNNNNNNNNNNNNNNNNNNNNNNNNNNNNNNNNNNNNNNNNNNNNNNNNNNNNNNNNNNNNNNNNNNNNNNNNNNNNNNNNNNNNNNNNNNNNNNNNNNNNNNNNNNNNNNNNNNNNNNNNNNNNNNNNNNNNNNNNNNNNNNNNNNNNNNNNNNNNNNNNNNNNNNNNNNNNNNNNNNNNNNNNNNNNNNNNNNNNNNNNNNNNNNNNNNNNNNNNNNNNNNNNNNNNNNNNNNNNNNNNNNNNNNNNNNNNNNNNNNNNNNNNNNNNNNNNNNNNNNAUUACUACUAAUCAAAAUGUACUACAUAAAAAAACUUGUAUAUACUAGAUACGUACUAACGUAGCAGUGAUCUUAUGGAACAUCUUGAUGUACACUGUUCGGCCAAAAUUAUAUAUAGUCCCAUACAGCCAGAGGUACUGACGCUCCAUGACCCCACGCAUGGCCAACGCCACCACCUUCGCUUGCCAUGAUCGCCGCCAACUCCCUUAUCAUCUCCUCCUGCACCUUCUCCCUCACGCUGGUGAGAUGGUCAACGGCGUCCUUCUCAAACUUUCUCUUCUUGUUACUUUGAAGAAGAGCAUGUGGCCACCGCAUUAGCAGCAGUAGCUCUUGGAUUAGUUUUGCUGGUCGCCGUCGUAACAAGUAGCUUUAUGAAAUUUGCGUUCUUUGUUGACUAGCUAGCAUAUGGGUGUGUUGUUUAUGUGGAUGUAUCCUUAUAUAAAUCACAAGAGUGUACUGUAGCAGUGAAUGUAGAUCAUUUGCAUGUGGCAUUCAACCAAAAGCCAGAAACCAUACUCUCUUAUCACCCAAACAUCGUAGGGACAUUUGGAUUAGCAGUUCAUUUAGUCAUAGUUUAACAUCAAAAUGAUGCACACAAAAAAAUCGUGCAAUGGAGCCUCCGGUCAAUGGAUUCCAACGCCAACUUUUUAGUUUUGGGUGAUGAUGAACAAUAGUUACUUAUUUUGGUAAUUAGCGUACACCAAGUUGAACGUGCUGGUCAUAACUAUGAAAAAUUACAAUCAUUCUACAAUGUAAUCACUACUCAGUCAAACUUAGCUGUGACUUAUCUAUCAGAAUAUCUCAAAAUUUGACAAUACUACGGAAACAAAGUGCCCCAAUCCUUGGUUCGUCCCUCAAUGACCACUCGGUGGUUUGUUCUCACAUUAUUUCUUCAGAUGCCUUUUUGGUGCUACGCUCAGUUGUUAAUUUUCACUAAAAAAUCACUGUGGCUUGUGCAUGUCUUGCAGCUUCCUCUGUCUGGCUUGAAGGAUCUGUAGCAUCUAGCAUGGCAUGCUUGUUUGUUCUUCCCCAAUAUCUCACUCCAACUGCAUAUUAUUUUAGACACCUAUGGCAACUCUCAACUAUGACAAGAAAAAGGGAAACUACAAAUGGCUCAGUAGCAAUGCCCAGAACAGACUGCAUAUCAUGACUUUGCCCAACACCAUGUUCAUCCAAUUUUGCACUGUUGUCAUGCAUGUGUUGGUGUACGUUCACAUAUAGUUUAUGAUAUUGUUUUGGAGGUAGUAUAAUGUGUGUGUUUUUGCACUUUUCCUAUAUUCGGUCUCUUUUCUCAUCAUCUUAACAUAUAAGUAAAUCACACGUGUAUAUUAUGAAUCUUGGACAAAACUUAAUGUCUUCUUCCCUAUAUAUUGAAAGAAUUGUAUGUACCUGCAUGUUCAUGCAAUUUUGGCAAUUUAAUUGUACUAGCAAGUUCAUCGAUUUUUGCAUUAUUGUCAUGCACUUUUGAGGAAUAGUUGCCAUGUACUUUUAGUAUUCACAUAUAGCCUUCAUGCAUGCUAUCUUGCCAACAACGGAACGUGGCUAGGCUAGCCAAUGGCGGCAGCGACCUGGAAGACAAACGAUCUGCCUGCUGAAGCGUUGGUGGAAUUUGGUGAUGCCCUAGAUGCACUUUUUUUUUCUAGGUUAGAUGAACUUGUGUAAAACAUACACUCUCAUCCAGUUGUGUGGUACUCAACCAAACCACAAUCUUGUAUCACUCAAAUUUCACAGGGUAUUCAUGGGAGACUUCGUAUCGAUGAGUAUGGAGGCUCAACAUUUAACAGAAUCUGGAUACUCUAUUUUGGCUUACAUAUUGUAUACUUCCCCAAAAUAAUGUUUUCAUCACAUACAUCACCGCAAUCAACUCUUAGCAAAUGAAUGUAGUAGUCUUUGCAUGUAGCAUUCAGUACAAGUCACAAGAUAAUCUCAAGUUCAUCAAAAUUGCAAGCUGCAUUCAUCAGAUCAAUUAUCCCAUUUCAGACACGGUUAAGAACAAAAUGACUAGAUAGUAAACCUAUAUCCUCCCCGAUUAAAUCCAUUGCAACAUGCUACUAUUUUACAAGCAAAGCAGGGAAGUAAUCCAUUCCAAUUGCAUUGAAUUAGCUAGAAACCCAUAAUGUGACGUGUGUACUUUUUUCGUUGCUUUCUUGUUACCCCUUCGUGGAGCUCGAUAACUCGUGCAUCGCCAGAGGUGCCUCCUCUUCUUGCUUGCAACAUCCUGCUCGCCAUGACCGUUACCAAUUACCUCGUCACAUCCUCAUGCACCUUCCCCCGUAGAAGUCACUAGAUUCGAUACGAUUUCAAAAUGCAGGUAAAAAUAAAGUGUGCUUUUAAAACAGUACCACCUUCAAUGUGCCAUGCACUUCGCACAAAACUAAUAACAAAAAUUCACAAUCAUGCUAGAAGGUAAGUACUGUUCACCAGACGGUCAAGCAAACACAAAAUUACAUGCAGAACAUGUUUAAAUCUAUCAUCAGUUGCUACGUUCUGUAAGUGAUUUAUUAAUUUCUACCCCAUCUCGUUCAUAUUGCCUGCACUAUAUAUAUGUCCUAACUAUAUUGUUGUGUCCGCUAUUAUACAUGCAGAAUGAAGAUUAAGGAAUGCAGAGUAAGGAACAUCCAUGAUGUUGGGUUCAUUGACCCACACAUCGUUAAUGGACAUGUGUUGGAGCGUCACCCCGCCGACGUGGAGGCAGACCUGUGGCACUUUCUUACAAAGCAGGAACUCAAAAGUGAUAUUCUAUUUCCUUACCAUUUUGAGUGAGUGUUUCUGUCUUGAGCACAUUCUCUUUUGUUUACUCCAUGCAUGGUAUGUGGCCGGCUAAUCGAUGAGUUAUGCAUGACGUACUGUGCAUGUAUCGUGUCCGCAGGUUCCACUGGAUUCUGCUAGUAAUUAAAGUUAACACCUCAGAAUGUCUCGUCCACGACUCUGUGAAUAUGGAUCCAAAGCUUUGGGGCGGAAUGAGAAGAAUGCUGCAGAAGUAAUUAUUUUCAUUCAUUUGCGCUCUAUAUCGAUCGGCCUAUUUCGUUCAUUUCCUAAUAUCAAGUAACUAAUUAAUAACUCUCUUGUUCAUUUAAUUUUCUUUGCCUCGUAGGGUUUGGAGACGGUUCGUAGAUACAAAGGUCGGUGAAUUCAAAAAAGAGCUAGAAUUCAAAAUGUUAAAGGCUAAGAAUGCUGGGGAUAUUCAGCCACCGGAGACCAAUCUAUGUGGAUACUAUGUCUGUGAGAUGAUCCGGAGAUACACCUCUGAGCGGGUUCCGAGUGAUACCAAUGCUCAGAGGAAUAACCUCCGGUGGAUGCUUAGUCCAGAAGCUCGCUUCCGACCACUUCAAGAGGAACUAGCUGGAUGGUUCAGCAGGGAAGUCCUCCAUCCUAAAGGAGAACACUAUUACGAGGACGUAGAACUUUAUAUGCAUUAAAUCAUGUAUGGAAAUUUGUUCAAAAUUGUAUAUGGUCAUCCGAUGAUAUUGAAUAUAUAUUGUAUAUUCCUCUUGAAUUCUUUUUGGUUCUAAUUUCAAAUUUAUUUGAAAUUGUACAUUCAUAUGCAUGUAUGUAGUACCGUAGAAUAUAUGAAACUCCUUCAAAAUUAAAAUAAAGCACAAAAGAAAUAAAACAAUACAAAUUAAACAGAAAACAGGUUUAGGGGGGGGGGGGCUAAAACCCUAAACCUGUGGCGGCCUUUAGUCGCGGUUGGCCAGAAGAACCGCGACUAAAGGUCCUCCGCCCCGACGGCCGCCUGGCGCCCACGUGGACGGGCCUUUAGUCGCGGUUCUUAAGGAGCCGCGACUAAAGGUGGGGGGCUUUAGUCGCGCUUAUUUGGUCGCGGUUGCGCAACCGCGACUAAUGGCAGUUGCGAACCGCGACCAAAGGCCUUUUUUCCACCAGUGCUGGGUUGGGCUUUAACAUCUCAAGUUUGCACACGUGCAAGGACAUAUAAGUCUCGCCUUCCAUCUAGAGGUCCUUCAAAAGGUGGCGGACUGCUUAAACAUUGUUGAUCCUCCUGUUCCACAUGGAGAUCCUUCCACAUUGCCAUAUACUCUGUAUAUCUAGCAUUGGAGUGAUUGUUUGCUUUGCCCCAAUAUCUCGCGUCGAUUGCAUAUUUAUUUUUGACACCUACAACAACUAUUAUGAUUAAAAAAGAGUACUAAGCAGAGGAGUCAUGCAUACAUCUGUCUACCGAGCAAACCAUGCAUGUCUCUGCCUAGCGGCCUCGCCAAUUUAUGUGGGAAGAAAUGCAUGUGUUUGUGUUUUACUAGCUGGUUCAUAUCCAGUUGUUCAUUGUUGUCAUGCAUGCGUUGUGCUACAUUCACAUCUAGUAUGUUUACGAAGGACCAACACUACUAGAAAAAGGGCUAUAGAUGAAAUUGACACUAAUGGCGCACCAGACAUGUGGUGCGUCAUUACUAUAUACUAAUGGCGCACCAUGUGUUGGUGCGUCAUUAAUGUUCAAAUACUAAAGACGCACCACAUCCACGAUGCGCCAUUAGUAACAAGAUUUUUUUAUAUUUUUUUUUCAAAACUAGUAAUGACGCACCAGAGGAUACUGGGCCAUUACUAGUUAACUAGUAAUGGCGCACCACAUCCACGGUGCGCCAUUAGUAAAUUUUUUAAUAUUUUUUGAAAACUAGUAAUGGUGCACCGUGAGAGUGGUGCGCCAUUACUAGUUCAAACUAGUAAUGGCGCACGCCAUUACUAACUUGGCCCAAAAAUUCCCUCGCAUGCACCCCCCUCGACUGCCUUUUCAGUUUAAAAAAAUAAAAGAAAAUGAUGAAAAUGUCAAAAAAAUAAAAGAAAAAUAGUUUUUCAUGUGAUAUGUGGUCUAGUUGUUGGGAAAAUUUACAAAUAUGAAUUUCAACUUUAUUUGCAAAAUCUCUUUGGAAUUUGUAAAAUGGGCAUAACUUUUGCAUACGAACUCGGAUUAAAAAAUUUUCUAUAUGAAAAACCAUCUACUCAAAAAGUUACAUCCGAAUUUAACUGGGGAACCCGUUAAACAUUUUCAAAAUCCUCAAAAACCUAACAGAAAAAAGUUACGGGGCUUUUAAGAUCUGAAGGCAAAAAAAAUCAAACUUACUAGUGGCGCACCGUAUGCUAGGUGCGCCACUAGUAACAGAAAAAAAAAUAGUUUCAAUUUUUUUUGGGAUUUUUUUUUCAAAAUAUGAUACGUAAUAUGAACGGAAGUUUGAAAUAUUUUUUUCAAAAUAUCAUCACACUCAUGAACAUGAACAAAGUCCUAAACAUCAACAAGGUUUAAUAGGAUUGAUAUGCUAGAUAUAUCAACAAGUGCCUGUGAAGUGAGCUGAUGCUGGGGUUGAAUAGAACUCUGAAGUUAAGUAUGCUUGGGUUAGAGUAGUGGGAGGAUGGAUGACCUUUUGGGAAAUUUGACCACGGAGUAUGAUUUGACCUGAGAUUAAGCAUAUUGACCCGAGAUUAAGAAAAAAAUAAAAAAAUUAAUUUAAAAAAAAAACUUGAAAAAAAUUUAUUACUAAUGACGCACUUCAAGUGCGCCAUUAGUAACUGGUAUACUAAUGGCGCACCAGUGAUGCGCCAUUAAUAAAAAAAUACUAGUGCUGUGGUACUAGUGGCGCACCAGUAGUACGCCAUUAGUAGGCAAAACUGGUGCGCCACUAGUAGACCUUUUUCUAGUAGUGCAAGUAUGGCUGAUCCAUUGAGCAUUGACCCAUAUGGACAUACUCCAAUAGAAUUUGGCUACAUUGUUGAGCUUCCCACUAGUCUACAUGUUCUAAAUAAUCUUAGCAUCACAUCAAAUCCAAUCUAGUAGUGAACGUAGUACAUUUAGCAGUUCAUUCAGUAAAAAGUUAGCCAUUCAGAGAGAGUAGGUAAUUUGUAUGCCGCUUUCAACCAAAAGUCCAAAACCAUAUAUGUUUAGAGGGAAUCACCACUAUCCUACAAUGCUGAUCAAUAAUCAGUCAAACACACAAAAUGCAUAUCUAUACUACUCCCUUCGUCCCAUAUUAAGUGUUGCUCAAACAGAUGUAUCUAAUGGGACAGAGGGAGUACUAUAUAUAGUGUAGCAAUUUGAAAGUUUAAAUCCAAGCAAUAUAAUGAAAUUUCAACUGUUGAUUGGACCCAUCUGACGGCCCGGAAUGCUUGGAAAAAAAAGUAACCCCAGAUCUCCCGGUGAUUGUUUUGCGCUAACAGGGGUCCUUAGCAUGUAGCAGGGGCAUGCUUGUUUGUUCUUCCCCAAUAUCCCUACUUCAGUUGCAUAUUAGUUUUGGCACCUGUGGCAACUAUCAACCAUGAUAAGAAAAAAAAAACAGGAAACUGCAGAUGGCUUGGGUCAUGCCUGACUCUGCCCAUCCGCUCACCAAUUUAUAUGGAAAAAAGAUACCUUUGCACUGUACCUACUAGAUCAUCCAACCUGCUGAUUGAAUUUGGCAACAUUAUUGACAGUCAUAUUUUCCUCAGCGUAAUGAUCUUAACCUCUGAUAAAACCCAAUUUAGCAGUGAACCAAGAAAUCUAGCAUUGAAGAAACCACAUAGGCAUAUAAUUCCAUACCAUCAAAACAAAUCAGAAAAAUAAAAUUGAUUUCCAUGCUGCAAUACAAGUAAGCAACCGUUCCCAAUUACUAUCAGUUUGCAAUUGCAUCAAAGAUCAAACGUGUGUAAAAUAGUUCAAGGUCACUAGGCCUGCAUACUAGCGCCGUCGCCAUGGUGCUCCAUGACAAGACGCACGGCUAACAAAAGCCCAAAAUUGUAAUCUCCUAUCACCCAGAUGUUGUAAUCUCCUAUCACCCAGAUGUCAUACGGCAGUCCAAUUAGCAGUGCAUUGGGUCACAAUUUGACAACAAAAUGAUGAGAAAAAUAAAGAUGUCGGUUUCCACCACUUUUUUUUUUGCUAAUGUUGAACGUGAAUCACCACCAUAUUACAAUGUUGAUGAUCAAUAUCAACCAAACACACAAAAUGCAUAUAGUAAGUUGGGCUGUGACAAAAACUAUUUCAAAUUUGGACAAAUACUACAAUAAUCGUCUCUCUUAGUGUUUGUUUCUCGCUAACAAACUUGCACAAGCAUUUUGUGCUUGGAGCCAAAUAGAAUGACCCAAACAUUCUAUGAAACUAGUUCAGUAUUGUUAAGUUCUCCUAAAACUACAUCAUGACUCUGCCCAUCCACUCACCAAUUUAUAUGGAAAAAAAUAUGCGCGUGCACUGUACCUACAAGUUCAUCCAACUUUGCAGUGGUGUCACGCAUGUGACCAUGUACACUCACAUCAGGUUUAUGAUAAUGUGUAGGAGCAAGCAUAAUGUGUGCGUUCCUACAUUUCCCCACUCUUUUAGAAUACGAGGACGAAAUAACCAAGCAAAAAUUGCAUGGAAGGGUUGCGUACUACUACUGCUGCUGAUUGAAUCAGCAUUGUUGAGAGUCAUACAUGACAUUGCUGCUAAUCCAGAUAUUCUAUCAGGACUUUGUACAGCAUAUAUUUCCUUAGCAGAAUAAUCUUAACCUCGAUAAACUCCAAUUUAGCAGUGAACCAAGAAAUCUAGCAUUGAAGAAACCAUAUAGGCAUAUAAUUCCAUACCAUCAAAACAAAUCGGACAAAUAAAAUUGAGUGAGUUCCAUGCUGCAAUACAAGUAAGCAACCGUUCCCAAUUACUAUCAGUUUGCAAUUGCAUCAAAGAUCAAACGUGUGUAAAAUAGUUUCAGGUCACUAGGCCUGCAUACUGGCGCCGUCGCCGUGGCGCUCCAUGACCCGGCGCAUGGCCAGCGCCGCUGCCUCACUUGCCCGCAGCGUGCCACUGGCCAUGAGCGCCGCAAACUCCCUCAUCACCUCCUCCUGCACCUUCCCCCUCGCGCUGCCGAGAGGGUCGGCCACAGUGGGCGCUGCUGCAGCGGCGGCUUUCUCCGGAGUCUGCUUCUCGACCUUCUUCUCUUCUUCUUUCUUGGAAGAAGAGCCAACGGGCGCCGCACUAGCAGCAGCAGCAGUUGUAGAACUCGUAGGGGCAGCAGGUGUCUUGCUGGCCGCCGCCGGCUGCGGCACAGAGACCGAGGCCGGAGUGGGCACGAACUGCGUGGUCUGGGGCGCGGCGUUGUUCCUGAGCGUGGCCUCGAGGUUCUGGAUCAUGGGCAUGAUCAUGGCGCCCAUGGGGCUGGACAUGACCUCGUUGGGCAGGUUGAGGAUGUAGUCGGGGAUCCCGGCGCCGACGAGGAACUGCGCGACCUCGUUGCUGAAGUUGUUGCAGUUGUGGGUGAGCAGGCUGUAGGUGGCGGCGGUGUAGCGCGGCGCGAUGUCGCGGAGGUAGUCCUCGAAGACCUCGCGGGGCAGGUGGGUGACGCCCAGGUCGACGACCCGCACGGGGCGGCCGUACUGCGUGGCCCCCGCCGGCGCCGCCUGGAUCCCGCCCCCGAAGAAGUACUCGUUGCCGUACACCACCACGCCCGUGUGCCUGCCGGGAUCGAUCGGUGCGCCGACCGGGUCAAAAUCGCGUCUUUUUCGGAUCAAUCGAAUUGAGAGGGGAAAUCUCAGAGGGGGCAAGGUGGACUCACCAGAUGGCCUCGAUGGGCUUGCCGAGGAAGGAGGUGGAGAGCUGGCGCGCGAGGCCGUUGCUGAGGUCGUACACGUUGAGCGCCACCUUGUGCCCCUCCUGCCGUCGGCGACAAUCAGGCGAGCAUCGUCAGAUCCCGGACAAAUUCGAUCGAUUGCGAGCGGCGCCGUACCGAACAACAACACCAACAACGAAUUGGGAGUGAAGGGGAAGGGACGAGCGUUUACCUCCGCCAUUAUCGCUUAGGAAAUCGUCGAGUCGAAGAGAUUCGAGUCGAAUCUGGAGGAAGACGACGACGCCGCCGGAAAGGAACGGGAACAGGAACGCACGCGCGGAUCUGGGAGGAGCGGCGAAACAGAGAGCACAGGGAGAGACAGAGA